rnacentral:rRNA from 1 species
UACGUAGGGACCAAGCGUUGUUCGGAUUUACUGGGCGUAAAGGGCGCGUAGGCGGCCCGGUAAGUCACUUGUGAAAUCUCUGAGCUUAACUCAGAACGGCCAAGUGAUACUGCAGUGCUAGAGUGUGGAAGGGGCAAUCGGAAUUCUUGGUGUAGCGGUGAAAUGCGUAGAUAUCAAGAGGAACACCUGAGGUGAAGACGGGUUGCUGGGCCAACACUGACGCUGAGGCGCGAAAGCCAGGGGAGCAAACGGG